rnacentral:rRNA from 1 species
UACGUAGGGUGCGAGCGUUAAUCGGAAUUACUGGGCGUAAAGCGUGCGCAGGCGGUUUCUUAAGCCAGACGUGAAAUCCCCGGGCUUAACCUGGGAACUGCGUUUGGAACUGGGAGACUAGAGUGUGUCAGAGGGAGGUGGAAUUCCACGUGUAGCAGUGAAAUGCGUAGAGAUGUGGAGGAACACCGAUGGCGAAGGCAGCCUCCUGGGAUAACACUGACGCUCAUGCACGAAAGCGUGGGGAG